GACGAGGGGUGCAAGCGUUAUCCGGAAUCACUGGGCGUAAAGCGCCUGUAGGAGGUGUAGCGAGUCAGAGGUGCAAAACUCUGGCUCAACCUGGGAACAGCCUGUAAAACUGCUUGACUAGAGUGUGGUAGAGGAAGAAGGAAUUCCCUGAGUAGCGGUGAAAUGCGUAGAUAUAGGAAAGAACACAAGUGGCGAAAGCGUUCUACUGGACCAAAACUGACACUGAGAUACGAAAGCUAGGGGAGCAAACGGG
rnacentral:rRNA from 1 species